rnacentral:rRNA from 1 species
ACUCCUACGGGAGGCAGCAGUGGGGAAUAUUGCACAAUGGGGGAAACCCUGAUGCAGCAACGCCGCGUGGAGGAUGACACAUUUCGGUGCGUAAACUCCUUUUAUAUAGGAAGAUAAUGACGGUACUAUAUGAAUAAGCGCCGGCUAACUCCGUGCCAGCAGCCGCGGUAAUACGGAGGGCGCAAGCGUUACUCGGAAUCACUGGGCGUAAAGAGCGUGUAGGCGGAUAGAUAAGUCAGGAGUGAAAUCCUAUGGCUCAACCAUAGAACUGCUCUUGAAACUGUCAAUCUAGAGUAUGGGAGAGGUAGAUGGAAUUUCUGGUGUAGGGGUAAAAUCCGUAGAGAUCAGAAGGAAUACCGAUUGCGAAGGCGAUCUACUGGAACAUAACUGACGCUGAGACGCGAAAGCGUGGGGAGCAAACAGGAUUAGAUACCCUGGUAGGCGUAG